rnacentral:tRNA from 1 species
GAUGAGGUGACUGAGUGGUUAAGGUGAUGGACUGCUACUCCAUUGUGCUCAAAAUACAUGUGUUUGAAUCCCCUCCUUGCUG